rnacentral:snRNA from 1 species
UCUCUGUAAUGUUCCAAUUUUAGUAUAAAUAUUAGUAUUCAACCGAGAAAAUCUUUCGCCUUUUACUAAAGAUUUCCGUGCAGAGG